rnacentral:rRNA from 1 species
UGGGGAAUUUUGGACAAUGGGCGAAAGCCUGAUCCAGCAAUGCCGCGUGUGUGAAGAAGGCCUUCGGGUUGUAAAGCACUUUUGUCCGGAAAGAAAUCCUUGGCUCUAAUACAGUCGGGGGAUGACGGUACCGGAAGAAUAAGCACCGGCUAACUACGUGCCAGCAGCCGCGGUAAUACGUAGGGUGCAAGCGUUAAUCGGAAUUACUGGGCGUAAAGCGUGCGCAGGCGGUUUGCUAAGACCGAUGUGAAAUCCCCGGGCUCAACCUGGGAACUGCAUUGGUGACUGGCAGGCUAGAGUAUGGCAGAGGGGGGUAGAAUUCCACGUGUAGCAGUGAAAUGCGUAGAGAUGUGGAGGAAUACCGAUGGCGAAGGCAGCCCCCUGGGCCAAUACUGACGCUCAUGCACGAAAGCGUGGGGGAGCAAACAGGAUUAGAUACCCUGGGUAGUCCACGCCCUAAACGAUGUCAACUAGUUGUUGGGGAUUCAUUUCCUUAGUAACGUAGCUAACGCGUGAAGUUGACCGCCUGGGGGAGUACGGUCGCAAGAUUAAAACUCAAAUGAAUUGACGGGGU